UACGUAGGGGGCAAGCGUUGUCCGGAUUUAUUGGGCGUAAAGAGCGUGUAGGCGGUCAGGAAGGUCCGUUGUGAAAACUCGAGGCUCAACCUCGAGACGCCGAUGGAAACCAUCUGACUAGAGUCCGGAAGAGGAGAGUGGAAUUCCUGGUGUAGCGGUGAAAUGCGCAGAUAUCAGGAAGAACACCCGUGGCUAAGGCGGCUCUCUAGGACGGUACUGACGCUGAGACGCGAAAGCGUGGGGAGCGAACAGG
rnacentral:rRNA from 1 species